rnacentral:rRNA from 1 species
CUAGGGAAACCGAGACCUGAGUACGAGGAUGCGGGGCAACCCAAAUUCGAGUCGUGUGGAGUCAGCAGGCAAGAAAAGCUGGAUGUGGAGGGUAUGAGAUGUCCGUACCGCAAACCGACACAGGUGGGCUAGGCGAGUAGCCUCAGGUGAACGAGUGAAACGUGGUCAAGGAACUCGGCAUAAUGAUCCCGUAACUUCGGAAGAAGGGAUGCCCCGUUUGGUAGCCAGACUUGCUCUGGUCGCUAGACGAGGCCGCAGAGAAUCGGCUCAAGCGACUGUUUAGCAAAAACACAGGUGCGUGCCAAGCCGCAUAAGGCGCCGUAUACGCACUGACGCCUGCCCGGUGCCGGAAGGUUAAGGGGAGAGGUUAGCCGCAAGGCGAAGCUUUGAUCCGAAGCCCCGGUAAACGGCGGCCGUAACAAUAACGGUCCUAAGGUAGCGAAAUUCCUUGUCGGGUAAGUUCCGACCUGCACGAAUGGCGUAACGACUUGAGCACUGUCUCGACCACGCGCUCGGCGAAAUAGCAGUCUCGGUGAGGAUUCCGAGUCCCCGCGACAGGACAAAAAGACCCCAUGCACCUUUACUGUAGCUUGUCAUUGGCGAUCGCAUAAGACUGUGUAGCAUAGGUGGGAGCCGUUGAGGCGGGGGCGCUAGCUCUCGCGGAGGCACCAGUGAAAUACCACCCUGUGUUCUGUGAUCGCCUCACCGCGGUAGGCAAACCCUAUCCGGGACCGUGGCAGGUGGGCAGUUUGACUGGGGCGGUCGCCUCCGAAAGAGUAACGGAGGCGCGCGAAGGUUGGCUCAGCGCGGUCGGUAAUCGCGCCUAUAGAGUGUAACGGCAGAAGCCAGCCUGACGGUGAGACCGACGGGUCGAACCGAGACGAAAGUCGGCCGUAGUGAUCCGGUAGACCGGUGUGGAUCGGCUAUCGUGCAACGGAUAAAAGGUACGCUGGGGAUAACAGGCUUAUCGCGCCCGAGAGUUCACAUCGACGGCGCGGUUUGGCACCUCGAUGUCGGCUUGUCACAUCCUGGGGCUGGAGAAGGUCCCAAGGGUCCGGCUGUUCGCCGGUUAAAGUGGCACAUGAGCUGGGUUCAGAACGUCGUGAGACAGUUCGGUCUGUAUCCGUCGUGGGCGUUGGAGAAUUGAGGGGAGCGGACUUUAGUACGAGAGGACCGAGUCGGACGAUCCGCUCGUGUCCCGGCUGUGGCGCCAGCUGCAACGCCGGGUAGCGAUGAUCGGUGGCGAUAACCGCUGAAAGCAUCUAAGUGGGAAGCGCCCCCCAAGAUGAAUUCUCCCUAGAGCCUUGAGCUCUCUAAAGGGCCGGAGGAGACUACUCCGUCGAUAGGCAGCACGUGGAAGUAACGCAAGUUAUUACGAGCGCAGCUGUCCUAAUCGCCCGUGCGGCUUGACUCC